GUGAGUCAUUGCAGUAAUGCAAGGCAGACGGCUCAGUAACACGUAGUCAACCUACCCUAUAGACGGGGAUAACCUCAGGAAACUGAGGAUAAACCCCGAUAGAUCAUUAUGCCUGGAACGGUUUAUGGUCCAAAUGAUUCGUCGCUAUAGGAUGGGACUGCGGCCUAUCAGCUUGUUGGUGAGGUAAUGGCCCACCAAGACUAUUACAGGUACGGGCUCUGAGAGGAGUAGCCCGGAGAUGGGUACUGAGACACGGACCCAGGCCCUAUGGGGCGCAGCAGGCGAGAAAACUUUGCAAUGUGCGAAAGCACGACAAGGUUAAUCCGAGUGAUUCCUGCUAAAGGAAUCUUUUGUUAGUCAUAAUACCACUAACGAAUAAGGGGUGGGCAAGUUCUGGUGUCAGCCGCCGCGGUAAAACCAGCACCUCAAGUGGUCAGGAUGAUUAUUGGGCCUAAAGCAUCCGUAGCCGGCUUUGUUAGUUUUCGGUUAAAUCCAUAUGCUCAACAUAUGGGCUGCCGGGAAUACUGCAAAGCUAGGGAGUGGGAGAGGUAGACGGUACUCCGUAGGAAGGGGUAAAAUCCUUUGAUCUAUGGAUGACCACCUGUGGCGAAGGCGGUCUACCAGAACACGUCCGACGGUGAGGGAUGAAAGCUGGGGGAGCAAACCGGAUUAGAUACCCGGGUAGUCCCAGCUGUAAACUAUGCAAACUCAGUGAUGCAUUGGCUUGUGGCCAGUGCAGUGCCGCAGGGAAGCCGUU
rnacentral:rRNA from 1 species